rnacentral:rRNA from 1 species
AACGAACGCUGGCGGCAUGCCUAACAUAUGCAAGUCGAACGAAGCCUUCGGGCUUAGUGGCGCACGGGUGCGUAACGCGUGGGAAUCUGCCCUUAGGUACGGAAUAACUCAGGGAAACUUGUGCUAAUACCGUAUGAUGUCGAGAGACCAAAGAUUUAUCGCCUAGGGAUGAGCCCGCGUAGGAUUAGCUAGUUGGUGGGGUAAAGGCCUACCAAGGCGACGAUCCUUAGCUGGUCUGAGAGGAUGAUCAGCCACACUGGGACUGAGACACGGCCCAGACUCCUCCGGGAGGCAGCAGUGGGGAAUAUUGGACAAUGGGCGAAAGCCUGAUCCAGCAAUGCCGCGUGAGUGAAGAAGGCCUUCGGUU